rnacentral:lncRNA from 1 species
GCUCCAUCACCUGGAAUACAGCCACAGCCCCGAAAGAAAAUCAACAAAGGCUGCGUGGCUUUUACUGCUGAUGGAACCAAACUUUCCAAAUACACAUCAAGGGCUCAAUAUGAUUCCACUGAACUUCUCCCAGCGACCCACAGUUCAAACAAAGACCUCGAGUCAAGAGUGCCACAGCACAGGGAACGCUGCCAGGCCCAGCGGAGCACUCACCACUUCACUCCCAAACAGGCUUGUACCUACUGGCAACCCAGCCAUGGCCAGCUCAUGAUCUUGGACCCCUGCCUACUUCCCUCAAAGCAGGCAAAGGCCAUCGAGUUCAUAUUGGGCUUGAAAUUAAUGAUUGCGAUAACAUAACGAAUGGCGCGGGCAGCGGAGAUGAUUGCUACUUUGGAGAGGGAGCACCAAGAUGACUGCAAACUCUGCCCCUUGACUCUGCCUCGGUGAGGAGGGGAGAGGAAGACGCCAAGCGGAUGGAGCAGCAGAACACACACAGGUGCUAGUGGUAGACUUACAGUCAAGAUGUCCUGAAAAACCCCCUGAAGAGGAAAGCCACGAGAUAUCAAUCCAUCUACAGAAAAAUAAAACCAACGUUCAGAAAGUGUCAACAAAUGUCAGUGGGUGCCAUAUUUUCUGCAUGGAGGAAUUCAGUGACACACCUUCACGAGCACUUUCACGUUGGAUGCCAUUGUGUCAGACUGCCCCUCUGAUGCCAUCUGCCACACAGCAACAAAACAUAAUGGGAUACUGGUGAGAAGGUUCAGCCUCUUCUGCCAUAUGACCAACAUCUGCCUUUGGCACUGUGGGUAAGUAUCAGAACAUUGGAGGCAUUGCUUUUGGAGCACUCUCCAUAAAGUAUAUAAUAUAGCUAAUGUGCUUCAUCCUUGAAAAUGGUUGUUCACAAAUGUAUGUACUGCCAAAAAAAGGUAAUGUGAAUAAGGUGAGACUGUGAAGUGAGGGGUAUUCCUCUUUCGUAAGAGAGGGCUUAUGGAUGUCUGGUAAAGAGAUACGAUCGCAUAUUUCUUGAGUUGAAUGUCUGAUUGCAACUUGAUACAUUCCAUUUGAAAAUUCACAACUGAAAAUAGAAUUACAAAUAUACCAAAAAACUGAUCACCUUUUUUCAGCUAUCUUGAAACCUGCUCUCAAACGCAGCCCACGGGCAGAGGGUUGGCCAUGCCUGUAAGUCAGCAGUCUUCUGCAGCACUCUGCCUUCUUACAGUCCCCUCUCAGCAUCAACGCGCAGGCUGGGCGUUCAGAGAGAAAAAGCUUUUGAGCACGUUGAGUAGAAAACAAGUUACUGAAAUAGCACUGGAGGUCACAGAAAAAGCAGUCUGUAAGCUAACCAGACUGCCCUGUUGCAAAGGCUUUCAGGUUUUCGUAGCACUGACCAAGGUACCGCUGGAGAGUGGGGUCUGUGGAGCUCAUUGUGAGCAGCUUGGCAGUGCCGUGCGGUUUCUGGCAGCUGGACAAAAUGCUUGCGGUUGGCAGGCCUCUCGCAAAGCCAUGGAAGGAAAGGAUAUAAAAAGAACACUGUUUCUGGAUUAACCAGAGGGACGGGCUGCACUGGCCGGUCACCACACAGUGCAGGAAGGAGCGGGCUGAGCUCCCUCAUUCACCACAUCCGCUGCUUCUGUGGAGCCAGAAGGAGGCAAUCAGGGGCCGCUACCAGAACAGAAGGCCUACAUGAAUCUUCCAAAGUAGCUGAUGUGACGUGAGACUCGUUUGGAAAGUGCUUUUCGUUUUAUAUACAGCUCAGCAACAGAAGCUUUUACUUUAAUCUUCUCAUUUCAUAGUGCCUGGGGUAAAAAAAAAACAAACAACAAAAAAAACAAACCAGCCUCAGCCGAGUGCAGCUUCGGUUUAAACAGAUUGUAUGGCAGCUCCAUUGGGUAUUUAGGUCCAGUUAAUUCCUUAUAACAUGAGAAAAUUUCUAGUGACAUCUGGAUUCCCUUUUUCCUCCUCCAGGCACACUCAGUCUGUGCUCUCACCAUGAAAGUUCAGAGCAGGUUGAAAUAUCACCUGCAGGAGUAAUUUUUGGUUGAAAAAAUAAAAGGGUUUUUUUAAUGCCAACCGUUACCGGAACAGGCUGCCCAUGGAGGUGGUGGAGUCACUGACCCUGGAGGCGUUCAAGAACUGUGUGGGUGUGGCACUGAGGGACAUGGUUAGUGGGAAUGGUGGGGGUGGGCUAACAGUUGGACUUAAUGAUCUUAGAGGUAGGUCUUUUCCAGCCUUAAUGAUUCUAUGAACCUACAAUCAAUUAAUGGCAGCCCAGAUCCUCAUCUCAAGAACUCCAGUCUCUAUACUGUUUCUUUAAUGAACGUUAGAAGCAAGGCUUGUUUUUUCAUUACUGAAUAAAACAGAGCUCUAUUAGGCUUUUGGAUUGAUCUUGUUUCCCAGCCUUCUUAUUUGUAAUGUUUUUUUGACAGAUGUGCUCAGGCUAUUCUCGUUGUGAGAAGAAACAGGGAACAGCAUCAGAUGAACUUGUUGUCAGGUUAUUAUUUGUCAACAAGAUCAAGCAAAGCCCUGCUCUCCUGGAGAAAUCGAAUUUCCCCACCAGCCAGGCUGAAUACUUCCAGCCAGUAUCCUGCCACUUCCCAGCAGACCUGUUCUUAGGUUCACAAAAGUUCCUUCGGUCUCCAUCAAACUCUCAUAUACUCAUGAGGCAUACUUACACAUCCCAUUCCCCAAAUAAUAUUCAGAUUUAAAAAAACAAAAAUCUAUCCAAAGCAUGAAAUUACAUUCAGUGGUGUGUAGCGAUAGGACAAGGAGUAAUGGCCUAAAAACUUGAACAUAGGGAGUUCCAUACAAACAUGCAGAAGAACUUCUCUACAGUAAGAAUGAUGGAAGACUGGAACAGGCUGCCCAGAGAGGUUGUGGAGUCUCCUUUUAUGGAGAUAUUCAGGACCCAUCUGGACGCCUACCUGUGUGACCUACUGUAGGGUACCUCCUUUGGCAGGGGGUUGGACUUGAUAUCUCUUAAGGUUCCUUUCAACCCCUGUGAUUCUAUGAUUCCCAAGUAUUUGUCUUUAGUGACUUUUAGAAAAAAGGCCUCUUCUCUGCUCUGUACAUCCCUGCUAAUGAGCACAAGCAUCAAGAAGUAGAGCAGUGACCAUGCUACUUGCCCAACUGAUUGCUAUUGCUAAUGAACCACCCUGAUUAAAAGCUGUUCUCGUCAGUCCACAGUGGUGUUCUGAAGGGAGAUCCUGUAGUAAAUGAGAUCAUCAGUGAAAUGAUCAUUAGUGUGUGUAGAUUGUUAAAACCUUCCUGAAAACUGCUAUAAUGAAGCUAGAGUUGAAAGUACUUUUAAUUAAUUUUGGGUCAAAUAAUCCUUGGGAUGUGAAAGUGAUCUGUCACUAUCCCCCCAAAAUUAUACAUCGAAGAAAAGAGCAAGAGGAAUGUCAGGACUGAUUAGAUAACAACUGGAUGGAGGUAAUUAGUUGCUCAACUUCCAAGGAAAAGGUGGCAGAGAGCUCUGUGAAUGUGAGCGUGCAGAAGGCACACAAACAGCCCACGGCCUGCCUCUGCUCAGGGUCCCACAGACCUGAUGGUUCAGGGCAAUGUGAGUGCCAUUUUGGGUGCCAGGUGACUCCCAGGGACUUGGAUUGCCCCCCAGCCCCUUCCAUUGACAAAAGAGAGCUAGGCAAAAGAGGCAGCUAACGAGUUCCAUAGGAGUGUAAGGGAGAGACAUACAAAGAGCAGAGACUAAUACUGACCUUACAUUCCUCCAGUUUAGCCAACACAGUCCCACCUUUGCCAUGUGGGUGGCAUGUGAUGAGUUGGUGUGGGCUCCAGAAAAGCUCCUUGAGCACCACAUAUGUCUGAGAUCUGAGGGAAGUGUAAUUAAAAGCACAGAUUUUGACACAUCUGAAGGAAACAGGUAAUUGUAUGUGCUGAGAUCACCCCUGGGUUACGACAGAGGAGCCUACUAGCCUGCAUGAAUGAUCAGCAGAGCAUUGUACUGAAGAAUGAGAAAACAGUGUGUGAGUCCCCUUGCCUCAAAGGAGGCACCUCUAUCCUGCAGUCCUUUACUCAGGUAACCAAUCAGUCCUUCCAGUUCUGCAGAACAGCAGGAAUGGCAAGGAACUGGCCUUGCACUAAUUAUCUGGAUAUGUUAACACAUUCCCUGCCAUGACUUGGUAUUGAAGGAAGCCUUUAAGACCUUCAGAACUGCAUCUAUGUACCAGAUGCUUGGUUAAUGAGGCCUUCAAGAAACCCAGCUAACAGUCAUUAAACAGAAAACACAAGAUUAACAUUUAAGAGCAUCAAUUACUGAUUUACUACUUUAACAAGCUGUUAAU